rnacentral:rRNA from 1 species
UCUGGUGGCUAUAGCGGUGGGGAAACACCUCUUCCCAUUCCGAACAGAGAAGUUAAGCCCACCAGCGCCAAUGAUACUAUGCGGUUCGCCGCAUGGGAAAGUAGGUCGCUGCCAGGG